UACGUAGGGCGCAAGCGUUAUCCGGAAUUAUUGGGCGUAAAGAGCUCGUAGGCGGUUUGUCGCGUCUGCCGUGAAAGUCCGGGGCUCAACUCCGGAUCUGCGGUGGGUACGGGCAGACUAGAGUGCAGUAGGGGAGACUGGAAUUCCUGGUGUAGCGGUGAAAUGCGCAGAUAUCAGGAGGAACACCAGUGGCGAAGGCGAGUCCCUGGACAACACCUGACACUGAGGCACGAAAGCUAGGGGAGCAAACAGG
rnacentral:rRNA from 1 species